rnacentral:lncRNA from 12 species
CGAGCAUCCCUGUGCUGGCUUGGCUGUCAUUCUUUCCUAAGGGAUCCAACCCAUUGGCUGUGGUAUGAUUGAAGAUCUGGGGUGCUCCUCUUUCCUAGGGAAUUUCUCUAGCAGAGGGAGGGCUUGCCUCAGUGGGGGAGAAGAUAGCCAUCCCUGCCAGGCCCCGGAGAGACCUGGGAGUCGGUAGAUCGGAACAUUGCUCUACAUUGUUUGAAAAAUGAAGUCAAGGUUAUCCAAGUGGUUACCUACUCAAGAGGAACAUUAUCUGUAUGAGAUGCUGGCAUUGACUGUGAGCAACUGGCAGGAGUGGGUCUCAUUCGCCAAAGAGAGAAGAACACUCCGAGUUGGGGUGAACAGCUGGCCCAGUCUCUGUAAGGUUUCCAGGUACAGAGAUUCCCAGGGCUCGCUUCCCUGGGCAGUGGACCCUGUUCUGGCCUGGGCCAGCAGAGAGGCUGCCGAGUGGGGAGCGCGGAUGACCCCUGCCCAGCAGCUUCCCUUCAGCAUUAUCCAGUGGAAGAUCCAAGAUGCAUCACCAUUGAAAUUGCAUCCUCAGCUCAGAACCAGCUCAGAACUGAGGAUCACUUCUUAG